UCAAUUAAUACAAAAAGUCAAUAUGCUUUCUCACUCAAAUCCUAAAAAGGAAUUAUUUCCUAACAGUGCCUACCUCCAAAACAGAAACAGAACAGAGUCAGGAGUGAUACAUUUUCACUGUUUAAAAACUAUUAAUCAUAAUUUGUGAAGAAAAUACAGACGUACUUAAAGUUCUGAAUUUGUUCAAGCAUUAGACUGGGUGAGACCAAAUCGUCCAUGUAAAGAAUUGUUCAUAUAUGAAAAAUCUAGUCAUAUUUCUACAAUGAUUUGAUUUUAAUAACUUGUUUCUCUCUGGAUAAACUAUUGAUCAUAGUUCUUCAAUGCUAUAUAACUACAUAAUUUUACUUGUUGCAUGGUAGUGUACUAAUUUAGAAAUAUUUAUGAAAAAAUUAUUCAGAAAAAAUGAAAUCUGAGGAACUUGUGUUUGUUUUAUGUUUUUAAAAACUCAAGUCUGUAGUGGCAUGUGUUUUUCAAAAAUUUCAUGGUUUUCUUACUAACUGUCAUAUAGCAAAAAAAUAUACCUCUAGCAUAUGCUGCAGGUUUUUGAUAAGUGAGACAAUAUUAUGGUAAUGAAUAGCAAUUCCAGCUUGUUGAGAGGAUUAAUAACUCAUUUACCUUUUGAAAAAGAAAAAUCAAUGAAUAUGUAGUAAAUCUUUUUGGGGGCAAUUGUCUAUAGGAAUACAUAUACUUCUGAUAUCCAUUUGUUAUACGGUGAAAAAAGAUCCAAGCAAAUUGUUCCCUAUUUAAUGUGCAUUGUGUUUCAUCACAACAUCUUUAGAGGUAAGUGCAGCUGAAGAUUCUUACAAAUGUAUUACUCACUUUCUCUUUGUGAUGUCUGUAUAAUCCUGCAGUUUUUCAGCAGAUAAAACCAAAAGAAGACAAUAUCUGCAAGACCAGCAGGUCUGCGAGACACCUGUACUUUUAGUACUUUCUGCUACACCUUCUCUUCCAAAAAAGUGAACUUCUAUUCACAUGCAAAACUAUCCUUCCUUUAUAGCAGCUCUUUUUGUUUUGCUUUCUGUGGUCAAAAAAAUUAAAACCCCAUAAAACCAGCAAAAUUUUUAUUUAACACUGAGUGAGGUUACAUUUUUUUAGCUUCAUAAUAAAUCUAGAAAGUAAAGGGGACUUUAAGGCCAUCAUGCAGUGCAUAACACACGCUCUUAAUGCAGGAUGAGUUUUAUGAAGUAUAAACAGAAUUACAAUCAAUACUAGCUAGAUUUUUCUCUUAUUUGUUAUAGAAGCAUGUGCAUUUCUUACCUCGUCUGUGUGUGCCAUGAUAUUCACUACGUUGAACACUUCUUCAUUUUGAACACUGAAAUUAUAUGCAGAAAUACACAUAGCACUGCUGCACAGUUAUGAGAUGAUGCUAAAAAGUAGAAGACAGGUAAUAAAAGAAUGAAGAGGCCUCUGGCUCCCACUUCUAUAGACAGUAACUGGAAACUUGCUGCAACUUAAGAGAAUAAUCUCAUACAACCAAGGAUUCGUGGCAGUGGUAGUUCUGUGUGACAUUGGCAUAUUUGAGCAGGCUUUAGAAGGGCAAGAAAAAAGCUCUGUGGGUAGAUAGAUCUUUAUAGCUUUUCUCUGAAUAAAAAUGACUUUCAAUAGAAAUAUAGACAAGGAUAGACUGUCCACAAGGAGACAGUAAAAACUCCCUGAGAAAGCUGUCAUCAGAACAGACAAAAAUCUCGCAUGUUCUUGUCUGCUAAAACUCAUGAGCUCUGAAGUUUCAGAGAUUGUGAGAACAUUUACAGACCUCUCAGACAAUGCAGGUAGCUUUCAUCCUGAUUGUUUAGUGUCAUUUGUAAUCUGUGCUUUGGAAAACGAUACAACCAAAAUAACAAGGACUUCCUCACAGUUCUUCAAGUUAGCCAUGAAGUCAUGCAGAUCUUCAGCUGAUCUUUUUUCUGAUUUCCAUCAUCUUCCUGGUAAUAUACUCAGAUGUGUCUUCACUUGUGUUCAAAACAAGGAUAGAUUUCAUGAGCAAAAGUAUUUGGGAACACUAUACCUCCUGUGAUAAGGUAAGAAGUUCUUUUCUUAAUUCUUCAACAAAUGCUUGAUUUAACAGUUUACAAUUUGCUGUUUAUAUUUUGUUUUACAAUUUAUCAAGGAGUUGUGGAGUUAAGUUACUGAAAAAUUUAUUGUCUCCAAUUCAAAGCACACUUUUUACAUCUCCUUCCUAUGUUAAAUUCUGAAGAAUGAAAAAAAAAAAUUAUAAUGGAGCAUUUUUAAAUUUUGGUAUGUCCCAGUAUCCUUAAACAGAGAACAAAUAUCAAACAGAAAAAGGACAAGAUGUUGUGAUAAUAUAUCCUAACCAGCUAGAACUGUUUGUAAUUGUUUUUUUUAAAUACUUCCUUACCUGUAAAAAUAAGUAAAAAAUAAUUUCAAACAUUUAGGCAGAAAAGGCGUACAAACCAGUUAAUGGGUUGAAGCAAUAGCAAUAUUGGAACUAUUGAGAGAUUGUAAAACAAAACAAGGUUUCAAGUCAAGAAAAGCUGUCCUUCUAAGGACGUUAAUACUUUUAUUGUAAAAGUCUUCCUUAAUCAGCACCUUUCUUUUUCAAAAUUCAGAUAUUUUCUUAUUUUAUAUUUUGCUAAGUCUAUGUACUGACUGAAGCAUCUGCAAAGCUGCAAGCUCUCAGCUUUUCAAUAUAUGGAAUACAUCUUUUCUCUUGUUAAGAAAGCAGUAUUCAUUGUAAGCAAAUUCAGAAAAAUAAUGAAUGUAAAAUGUGAAAAUCCCCCUUCUUUGUCUACUAGAUUGUCCAACAUGCAAUACAAUAUCCACAAUAGCAAAAAUUAACCCAGAACCAAUGGGUUCGGCAGGCUGGAAGAAGUAUGGAGCUCUGGAUAUUUGGGUCUGAUUAUACAGCUCAGAAGAUAUGUUUAGACUUGGGCUAAACAGGCCUUUCACAUAUUAAAGCUGCUGACACCAAACAAGGGUUGGGGAAGAGUGGCUAGAAAAAUGCCUGGCAGAGAAGGACGUGGGUGUCUGGUUGACAGCCAACUUAACAUGACCCAGCAGUGUGCCCGGGUGGCCAAGAAGGCAAAUGGCAUCUUGGCUUGUGUCAGGAACAGUGUGGCAAGCAGGACCAGGGAAGUGAUUCUCCCCUCAUACUCUGUACUGGUGAGGCUGAACCUCAAAUACUGUGUUCAGUCUUGGGUCCCUCACUAUAAGGAACACAUUGAGGUCCUGGAACGUGCCCAGAAAAGGGCAGUGAAGCUGGUGAAGGGGCUGGGGAACAAGUCUUACGAGGAGUGGCUGAGGGAAAUGGGGUUGUUUAGCCUAGCAAAGGAGAUGCUGAGUGGACACCUGUCUACAAUUACCUGAAAGGAGGUUGUAGCAAGGAGGGUGUUGGUCUCUUCUCCCAAGUGACAGGUGAUAGGAUGAGAGGAAAUGGCCUCAAAUUGCGCCAGAGGAGGUUCAGAUUAGACAUCCGGAAAUAUUUCUUCAUCAAAAGGGUUACCAAGCACUGGAACAAGCUACCCAGAGCAGUGAUUGAGUCGCCAUCUGUGGAGGUGUUUAGAAGAUGGGUAGAUGAAGUCCUCAGGGAUAUGGUUUAGCAGUAGACAGGUAUGGUUGGACUCAAUAAUCUCAAAGGUCUUUUCCAACCAAGCGAUACUAUGACUUUAUAAUUCUAUGAUCUGAGUUUAAGCUAUCUCCAGUUAAAAGAUAAUUAUCUUCAAUGGAACUUAAACACUUAUAAUCUGUUGUGUAUGUCAGCUUUUGAAAGAUAUGAUAAAGUAGAAGGCAAUUAAAUUACAGUAAUCCACUCAAAAUGCCUGGCAGAAUUUGCCAUCCAAAUGGACUGCAGUGUUAUUGUGUUUUAUUAUUAGUAAUUGGUCUUUUAAAGAUUAUGUGUGAUUUGACUCUUUAGUAAGUUAGUAAUAUUAUGCCUCGUAGUAUUGAUAGCUUAGGAUGUAAAGAAACGGUAAAAUAAAAAUGCUGAGAUCAUUUUAGUGGUAUUUGUUGGAAACUGCAGAAGUCUGUUGUAGUGGCAGUAUAAUUCACUCCUGCACAUCCGAUAUGAGCAUUGUUUCAAUCUUUUUUUUGACUUUUCAAUGUAAUUCUCAUUACUAACUCUUGAAAUUAUGAUUAUAAAAUUAAUGUCCCCUUUGGUAUUAUACAGAAAGAUAAAUUAAUUAUAUCUAAUUACUAUAGUCUUGUAUUAUAUUUUUUUAAAUAUAAGAUGCCAGGUUUUAAUAUAUAUCUGUGUAUUUUUAAACAAAAUAUCUCAUGCAAUUGCAAUACUCUAAGAUCAAGUGUGAUUUUACAUCACAAAGCAUAUUAUCUUCAUUCGUUUAUAUUAUCAUAAAUCAAACAUAAUUACUUUCAAUUGGUCUCUCUGUACUCUAAGAUAAGUUCAAAAAAUAAACUAGGCUUCAAGCACUAAUUCUGCGCCUUAUUUUCACUAGAGAUAGUUUGUUGUCUUUCACUGAAAACUGAUAUUUAGCACCAUUUCAAUUAACCAUGAAAAUCAUAAAUAUCCUUAUAUCUGGUGUGGCAAAAUAUAAGAGUUCUUCUGUCUUUCUGUAUCAUGAUGAAUUCAGCUAAAUUAUUUACUCAUAAAACACAAGCCAGUUUUGCAGUAAUUUGCUAAUUUUUCUUUUGACUUUUUCCAAAAUGUCACCAACUGCUUAUUUAAGUUGUUAAUCAUUAGAAUUGCAAAUGUUAUUUUAAUGCAGAUGCAAUAUGGUAAGCAAUAACAAAGCCCUACUGUAUGAGAUACUUUCCAGGUAUGUAUAAUACUGUAUCCCCUAUCAAGUUCAUGCUUUCAAACCCUUCCUCCAUAAUUGAAUUGCACAUUUAACAGAAAUAUCUUCACUGUGUUAAUAUUUUUGGUUUUGUUUUUCAUCAUCAUUUUUAUUUUUCUGUAAAUGUGUUUGUCCUUGUUUACACUCACAAAACUGAUUUCUGUCUUAUUUGGCCAAAGACAGGCACUCUGGCAGUUAAAUAUUUUUUACAGAAUCAUUUUAAUGGCACAUCAAAUAAAUAUAAUAAAUAAAAUAUAGGUAAAAUAUAAUGCAUUAUUUUACAGGUUUUGAUACAGCUACAAGUGAAUUGCUCUGGUGUUUAAUUUUCUUUCUCGAAGCCCAGAAAACCUUACAGUAGAUGUAAACAGAAGAGUCAACAUGAGUAAGAGAGUUGGACUAUGGACCAAUAUUCUACCUGGACCAGAACAAAGAAUCCAGACAAGUCCCACAGCAUCUUCAAUUUCAUUCUCUUCUGGCCACAGAUAAAUCGGAACUGUAAAGUGGAACAUAUGUUUAGUCUUAUUUCUGUAUAGUUUAAAUGAAAAUAUACAUUUUAAAAUCGGACACUCCGUGCCAAACAUGGAAACCAUCAUAGAAUAGAAUUUGUAUGCAAAGAAACAUUCAGAUUUUUGUGGUUCCAAAAAUCUAGUUCCAACUCCUCUGCCAUAGGCAGGGAUACCUUCCACUAUAUCAUAUUGUUCAAAGACCCAUUCAUCCUCACCUUGAACACCUCCAGGAUUGGGGCAUUUUCAGCUUCUUUGAGCAACGUGUUCCAGUGCCUCACCAUGAUCACAGUAAAAGAUUUCUUCCCAACAUCUAACCCAAAUCUACUGUCUUUCAACAUAAAAGCAUUACCCUUGUCUAUCACUACUCUCCCUGACAAAGAGCCCCUUCCCAUCUUUCCUGUAGGCCCCUUCUAAAAACUGGAAAGCUGCUGUAAGGUCUCCUCAGAGUUGUCUUUUUUGCCGACUGAACAAGCCCCAAUUUCUUGCCCUGUCCUUAUAUGGGAGGUGCUCCAGGCCUCUGAUAAUCUUCAUGGCCUCCUCUAGACUUGCUCUAACAGAUCCAUGUUGUCCUUGUGCUGAGGACUCCAGAACUGAAUGUAGUACUCCAGGUGAAGUCUUAUGAGAGCAGAGUAGAAGGGGAAAAUCACCUCCUUCAACCUGCAGCCCAGGAUGAUGUUGACUUUCUGGGCUGCAAACGCACAUUGCCAGCUCAUGCUGAGCUUCUUAUCCACCAUCACCCUGAAGUCCUUCUCUACAGGAUUUUCAAUCCAUUCACUGCCCAGCCUGUAUUUGUGUUUAGGAUUGCCCUGACCCAGGAGCAGGACCUUGCACUUAGCCUUGUUGAACUUCAUGAGAUUUGCAUAAGCCCACCUUUCAAGCCUGUCCCUCUGGAUUGCAUCUCUUCUUUCCAGCAUGUCGAGUGCACUAAACAACUUGGUGUCAUCAUCAAGCUUGCUGAGGGUACAUUCAAUUCCACUGUCCAUGUUUGUGACAAGGAUGUUAAACAAUAACAGUUCCAAUAAUGACUCCUGAGGAAUGUUGCUUAUCACCGGUUAUUUAGCUUAUAUUUUCUAGAAGCCACAUUGAAAGGAAAAGUUAUUGAGGGUUUAAUUUUAGGCUUCACCGUAGUAUACACAUUUUCAAAAAGUUUGAGUACUUUCUAGAGACUAAAAUAUUUUUUUUUUCCUUGAGCUAGCAGUCUGAUAUUAGAUCCCAUCAUUGGAUUGGGAAACUACAUGGGCAAACACCCAGCUUUAUUAUGCCUAUUUUUAGAACAUUAUGUGUGAACCCAGAUCUGCUCAACCCCUGAACAUUUGUCUGUGGCUACUUUCCAAUAAACAAGGCCUAACUGGAAAAGUAAUGAUCUCUGUUUGGACUUGGCGAAAGAAUAUGCUUGGGAUACAGCUUUGUUCAUGUUGAAAACUUCAACUUAACAAUGUUGCUGCAUCGACUAGAUAUCAACACUAUUCAAGGCCAGAAAUUAGGUCUCUUCAAAUUUUGGGCUUGCAACGAAACCUAUGCAUUUUAAAAUUUCAGUAUCACUAAGAACAUAAUUUGCAGUAUAUUUUUUUUACACAGAAACCUGUAUUUUUUGAAAUCUCUGGUGCUGUGAAAAACAUUUGUAUGAGAUGAUCUUUUUUUUCCUAAGCAAAAAUGCUUUAGUUGCAUUGCUGGUUUGAUUGUAUAAUUUAAGGACAAUUUCAUAAAUGUAGCAUCUUAGAGAAUACCAUAGUUUUUCCCGAUAUUUUUCUGAUUUACUUUUACACAGUGCAUAGGAGCUCACUUUCACUGCAUAAAUUGUAGUCCAUAAACUGAAAAGUAAAAAUAAUCUAAAAAUAAAAAUAACUCUAAACUUAGUUUUUAAAUGAUUGCACAAAGGAUUGUCAGGCAUUCUUUUUCAAAACUACCUGUGGCCUGCCCAUGGCCUUUGGUAGAAUAAAAUCAUGUAAACUGAAGAAAAAUGAGGAAUGAAAUACAUAUCCUGCAAAAGAUACUGGAUGUGGUCAAAUGGUUAUGCAUUAUUAUAGUAGUAUGUAUGCACCAAAUGACAGAGCAAAAAAAGCUUCAUUUGAUGAAGCUGUAUAUCUAGGAGAGGCAAUCAAAGAUACUUAAAAGGACAGAGAGAUAAUUAAAGUCAGCAAAAAAUGAAAGUCUCAGAAAAAACCUACUUAUAUUUUUCUGAAGAAAUAUUACAUCAUUAUUCCUAUGGCUAAGUAAACAUGCUCAUGGUCUGUCAUUUCUGCAUUGUUUCAUUUAGCUAGGAGAUUCACCUGCUGAAGUGUAAAUUUUUUCCUUUGUGUACUGAGAGAUGAACUGAAUAUAUUUUACAUGCAGUACUAACAAAUUAUUUCAAUGGUAAUUUCAAAUAUAUAAUACAACUUCAGUAUAAGUUCAUUACUAGAAGAUAUGCAUGAUAUUAGUAUGUAUAAAUAUAGGUAAGAAUAGUGCACUUUUUUACUCAUUAGAUGGAUAUGCUUAAUAACAUGUAUUGCAAGGGCUAAAUAUAGCUAUUUCACUUGCACAAAAAUUAAGAAUUUGAGUCUAAAUAUUAGGUAAUUAAUAUUGCAUCUUCUGGUUUUCAAAAGAACGAUGAUGUACCCAGAAAUUUGGUAAUCCCACUGAAAUUUCUAAAAAUAUCAUUCACAAUUUUUUUCUUUCUUUGCCCUUAUCUAUUUGUCAGCAUAAAAAGGUUUCAUUGUGCUGUUUCAUCAAUAACAAAUAUGCUUGUAAAGGUAUUUUUUCCCCUUCUGCUGACAAUAGUUCCACAUGAUCAUACCUUUUACAAAGCAGAGUUAUUUAGGGAAACACAGCAGUUGCCCUGUCUCAGCAUUAGUUAAAAGGAACUGUAUUCAUCCCCCUAGCACUCUACAAAUGCUGAAUGGGAUCAGUGAACCAAAUCCCCCACAAACUCGGCUAUAAAAAUGACUUAUCACAGCAUGAGGACCCUAAUUUCUCUGGCAUUGCUAGCACAUUAUAGAAUUGAGGUUAUGCUACCUCUCGAAGCACCCAAGCAAAUAGUUUCACCAAGAAUGCUGUUUGUUAUGUGGAGGUGAACAUGUUUGCCUUGCAAAGUAUGCCAUUAAUGACCUCACAUGCUUAUGGGACCAGAGAACAGGUAUUUGACAAGUGCUUAUAGCCAACUUCAAAUUAUCAGGCUAAGUUUUGUGUGUUUCAGUGAGCGAAAGAUGAUUUAUAGCACCAAAGCUGUGGAUGUGGCUUCUGCCAAAGGGAUACUGAAAAGGUGGUAUGAAGGAAUAAGAUGGCUGGUGGAAAUCAAAUGGACUCAACAGUAGGAACUUGCUAAGUCAGGAGAAGGCAAAAAUCUGAAACAGUUAAAUAAUGUGGUUGAGACAAAGGAAGCAGAGGACUCUCAUGGGAUCACUUCACACUCAUUGCGCAGCUGAGGGCUGGGAGAAGGCCAAAACAACUGGUAUUGCCAAAACAACUACCACAAGUGCAAGCACAUAGUAUUCCUCAGGAAUCAGUAAUCCUGCCUGUGCUGAAACCACGGAGACCUCUGAGGCUGCCUUAUCAUCUAGCCGCUGUGUUUGCUAGAGGAUGAAGGUCAUACUCCAGUCUCUGUCCAUGGCUGCAUUGUCUAGACUUUUGUCACACUCUGCCACUAGCGGAGAGGGACUCGGCACAGGCAGACCUGAGCUCUGCCUGUCAUGCAAUGGGCUGCUCUGUUUCUUAAGCCUGAGCCGCAUGUCAGGGGUGCUGUAGAAACAGCUGGAGUCUGCACCAUUAGGACCACCACUGCUCACAAUGCACGAAGUGAAAUAAAAAAUUCCACUUAAUUCAGGAUUAUGUUUGUGAUUAAAAAAGUAUUACAUAUGCAGCAUUUGGAAAAAAAUAGUGUGUCUGAUAAUUAUUUCAGUUACACUCCUGCGUCUUCACCUACCACUAUGAGAACAGACAAAAAAUAGUAGCACAAGAUUACUGUGUUCUACAACACUGCUGAGAAGCAUACCUUGGAAAACAAUUCUUUUUGCUAUGAUUUGAAUUUGAUGGGAGGUAGUAGGCUUGGCUGUGCUGAAUGAAACAAAGAGGCUAGGGUUUCUCUUUUACUAGAAAUCGAGGGUUGCAAUAUUUAUUUCAUAUAAUAACUAAGUAACAGUUUAAUAAUUUAUCAAUUUUUCUACCCUUAAAAUACAUCUUUACCAAUGUAUUCAUCUUACA